UCCUCAUGUCUGAGGGUCGUGACCAUCUC
rnacentral:piRNA from 1 species